rnacentral:rRNA from 1 species
CCUACGGGUGGCACCAGUAGGGAAUCUUCGGCAAUGGACGAAAGUCUGACCGAGCAACGCCGCGUGAGUGAAGAAGGUUUCCGGAUCGUAAAACUCUGUUGUUAGAGAAGAACAAGUAGGAGAGUAACUGCUCUUACCUUGACGGUAUCUAACCAGAAAGUCACGGCUAACUACGUGCCAGCAGCCGCGGUAAUACGUAGGUGGCAAGCGGUGUCCGGAUUUAUUGGGCGUAAAGGGAGCGCAGGUGGUCUUUUAAGUCUGAUGUGAGAGCCUUCGGCUUAACCGAAGAAGUGCAUCGGAAACUGAAUGACUUGAGUGCAGAAGAGGACAGUGGAACUCCAUGUGUAGCGGUGAAAUGCGUAGAUAUAUGGAGGAACACCAGUGGCGAAGGCGACUGUCUGGUCUGUUACUGACACUGAGGCUCGAUAGCAUGGGUAGCAAACAGGAUUAGAUACCCGAGUAGUC